AGUGAACGCUGGCGGUAGGCCUAACACAUGCAAGUCGAACGGCAGCACAGUAAGAGCUUGCUCUUACGGGUGGCGAGUGGCGGACGGGUGAGGAAUACAUCGGAAUCUACUUUUUCGUGGGGGAUAACGUAGGGAAACUUACGCUCAUACCGCAUCCGCCCUACGGGUGAAAGCAGGGGAUCUUCGGACCUUGCGCGAUUGAAUGAGCCGAUGUCGGAUUAGCUAGUUGGCGGGGUAAAGGCCCACGAAGGGGACGAUCCGUAGCUGGUCUGAGAGGAUGGUCAGCCACACGGGAACGGAGACACGGACCAGGCUCCUACGGGAGGCAGCAGUGUGGAAUAUUGGACAAUGGUCGCAAGCCUGAUCCAGCCAUACCGCGUGGGUUAAGAAGGCCUUCGGGUUGUAAAGCCCUUUUGUUGGGAAAGAAAAGCAGCAGGUUAAGACCCCGCUGUUCUGACGGUACCCAAAGAAUAAGCACCGGCUAACUUCGUG
rnacentral:rRNA from 1 species